GGGGGUGUUAGGUUUUGACGUUAUUAUAAAUUAAAAAAAAUUUUAUUGACAUGAAUUUAAAAAUAUAGUAAAUCAUACUAAUAAAAUUUAUAAUAUUAAAUAAUAAAUUAAUACUAACUAAUUAAUCAUGUAAAUUAUUUUUUUAAAAAUAACGGAUAUGAGUUCGAUUCUCAUCAUCUCCACCA
rnacentral:tmRNA from 1 species